rnacentral:rRNA from 1 species
UACGGAGGGUGCAAGCGUUAUCCAGAUUCACUGGGUUUAAAGGGUGCGUAGGCGGGUUGGUAAGUCCGUGGUGAAAUCCCCAAGCUUAACUUGGGAACUGCCGUGGAUACUAUCAAUCUUGAAUAUCGUGGAGGUAAGCGGAAUAUGUCAUGUAGCGGUGAAAUGCUUAGAUAUGACAUAGAACACCAAUUGCGUAGGCAGCUUACUACACGAUCAUUGACGCUGAGGCACGAAAGCGUGGGGAGCAAACAGG